rnacentral:rRNA from 1 species
GUAAUGGAGAGUUUGAUCCUGGCUCAGAACGAACGCUGGCGGCAUGCCUAACACAUGCAAGUCGAACGGUAACGGGUCCUUCACGAUUCAACUCCUGGCAGAGAAAGUCGAGACGCCG